ACUGGGCAUAGCGCCUGUAGUCCCAGCUACUUGGGAGGCUGAGGCUGGAGGAUCGGUGGAGCUCAGGAGUUCUGGGCUGCAGUGCGCUAUGCCGAUCGGGUGUCCGCACUAAGUUCGGCAGCAAUAUGGUGACCUCCCGGGAGUGGGGGACCACCAGGUUGCCUAAGGAGGGGUGAACCGGCCCAGGUCGGAAACGGAGCAGGUCAAAACUCCUGUGCUGAUCAGCAUAAGGAUCCCGGUUCGAGCCCCCAGCUCCCCACCUGCAGGGGAGUCGCUUCAC
rnacentral:SRP_RNA from 1 species